AACGAACGCUGGCGGCAUGCCUAACACAUGCAAGUCGAACGAAGCCUUCGGGCUUAGUGGCGCACGGGUGCGUAACGCGUGGGAAUCUGCCCUUGGGUUCGGAAUAACAGUUAGAAAUGACUGCUAAUACCGGAUGAUGUCUUCGGACCAAAGAUUUAUCGCCCAAGGAUGAGCCCGCGUAGGAUUAGGUAGUUGGUGGGGUAAUGGCCCACCAAGCCGACGAUCCUUAGCUGGUCUGAGAGGAUGAUCAGCCACACUGGGACUGAGACACGGCCCAGACUCCUACGGGAGGCAGCGGUGGGGAAUAUUGGACAAUGGGCGAAAGCCUGAUCCAGCAAUGCCGCGUGAGUGAUGAAGGCCUUAGGGUUGUAAAGCUCUAUUACCAGGGAUGAUAAUGACAGUACCUGGAGAAUAAGCUCCGGCUAACUCCGUGCCAGCCGCCGCUGUAAAAC
rnacentral:rRNA from 1 species